GAUGAGCGCUGGCGGCGUGCUUAACACAUGCAAGUCGAACGAAGCAUUUCUUAUGAAGUUUUCGGAUGGAUUAAGUUAUGACUUAGUGGCGGACGGGUGAGUAACGCGUGGGUAACCUGCCUCAUACAGGGGGAUAACAGUUGGAAACGACUGCUAAGACCGCAUAAGCCUACAGUACCGCAUGGUACAGGAGGAAAAAAUUUAUUGGUAUGAGAUGGACCCGCGUCUGAUUAGCUAGUUGGUAAGGUAACGGCCUACCAAGGCGACGAUCAGUAGCCGACUUGAGAGAGUGAUGCGACACAUUGGUACUGAGACACGGCCCAAACUCCUGCGGGAGGCAGCAGUGGGGAAUAUUGCACAAUGGGGGAAACCCUGAUGCAGCGACGCCGCGUGAGUGAAGAAGUAUUUCGGUAUGUAAAGCUCUAUCAGCAGGGAAGAUAAUGACGGUACCUGACUAAGAAGCCCCGGCUAACUACGUGCCAGCAGCCGCCGUAA
rnacentral:rRNA from 1 species